rnacentral:rRNA from 1 species
CAGCCUGAUGCAGCCAUGCCGCGUGUGUGAAGAAGGCCUUCGGGUUGUAAAGCACUUUCAGUCGUGAGGAAGGUAGUGUAGUUAAUAGCUGCAUUAUUUGACGUUAGCGACAGAAGAAGCACCGGCUAACUCCGUGCCAGCAGCCGCGGUAAUACGGAGGGUGCGAGCGUUAAUCGGAAUUACUGGGCGUAAAGCGCAUGCAGGUGGUUUGUUAAGUCAGAUGUGAAAGCCCGGGGCUCAACCUCGGAAUAGCAUUUGAAACUGGCAGACUAGAGUACUGUAGAGGGGGGUAGAAUUUCAGGUGUAGCGGUGAAAUGCGUAGAGAUCUGAAGGAAUACCGGUGGCGAAGGCGGCCCCCUGGACAGAUACUGACACUCAGAUGCGAAAGCGUGGGGAGCAAACAGGAUUAGAUACCCUGGUAGUCCACGCCGUAAACGAUGUCUACUUGGAGGUUGUGGCCUUGAGCCGUGGCUUUCGGAGCUAACGCGUUAAGUAGACCGCCUGGGGAGUACGGUCGCAAGAUUAAAACUCAAAUGAAUUGACGGGGGCCCGCACAAGCGGUGGAGCAUGUGGUUUAAUUCGAUGCAACGCGAAGAACCUUACCUACUCUUGACAUCCAGAGAACUUUCCAGAGAUGGAUUGGUGCCUUCGGGAACUCUGAGACAGGUGCUGCAUGGCUGUCGUCAGCUCGUGUUGCGAAAUGUUGGGUUAAGUCCCGCAACGAGCGCAACCCUUAUCCUUGUUUGCCAGCGAGUAAUGUCGGGAACUCCAGGGAGACUGCCGGUGAUAAACCGGAGGAAGGUGGGGACGACGUCAAGUCAUCAUGGCCCUUACGAGUAGGGCUACACACGUGCUACAAUGGCGCAUACAGAGGGCGGCCAACUUGCGAAAGUGAGCGAAUCCCAAA